rnacentral:rRNA from 1 species
CGCGUAGGCGGCUUAGCAAGUCAGAUGUGAAAGCCCCGGGCUUAACUCGGGAAUUGCAUCUGAAACUGCUUUGCUUGAGUCCUGGAGGGGAUAGUGGAAUUCCCAGUGUAGCGGUGAAAUGCGUAGAUAUUGGGAGGAACACCUGCGGCGAAGGCGGCUAUCUGGACAGUGACUGACGCUGAGGCGCGAAAGCUAGGGGAGCGAACGG